GAUGAACGCUGGCGGCGUGCCUAAUACAUGCAAGUCGAGCGAACGGACGAGAAGCUUGCUUUUCUGAUGUUAGCGGCGGACGGGUGAGUAACACGUGGAUAACCUACCUAUAAGACUGGGAUAACUUCGGGAAACCGGAGCUAAUACCGGAUAAUAUUUUGAACCGCAUGGUUCAAAAGUGAAAGACGGUCUUGCUGUCACUUAUAGAUGGAUCCGCGCUGCAUUAGCUAGUUGGUAAGGUAACGGCUUACCAAGGCAACGAUGCAUAGCCGACCUGAGAGGGUGAUCGGCCACACUGGAACUGAGACACGGUCCCGACUCCUACGGGAGGCAGCAGUAGGGAAUCUUACGCAAAGGGCGAAAGCCUGACGGAGCAACGCCGCGUGAGUGAUGAAGGUCUUCGGAUCGUAAAACUCUGUUAUUAGGGAAGAACAUAUGUGUAAGUAACUGUGCACAUCUUGACGGUACCUAAUCAGAAAGCCACGGCUAACUACGUG
rnacentral:rRNA from 1 species